ACCCUCCAGAGUCCAGAUGCCCCAGAACUACACGCUGGUCUGAGUGGUUAUCAAAGGAGGAGAAGUCAAAUUGAAAGGGACUUAAAUUCUUUUCUGACACAGGAGCUAGUUUCAAACAAACAAAC
rnacentral:snoRNA from 1 species